rnacentral:rRNA from 1 species
AUUGAACGCUGGCGGCAUGCUUUACACAUGCAAGUCGAACGGUAACGCGGGGCAACCUGGCGACGAGUGGCGAACGGGCGAGUAAUGCAUCGGAACGUGCCCGGGAGUGGGGGAUAACUGCUCGAAAGAGCAGCUAAUACCGCAUACGACCUGAGGGUGAAAGGGGGGGAUCGCAAGACCUCUCGCUAUUGGAGCGGCCGGGGUCGGAUUAGCUAGUUGGUGGGGUAAGGGCCCACCAAGGCGACGAUCCGUAGCUGGUCUGAGAGGACGACCAGCCACACUGGGACUGAGACACGGCCCAGACUCCUACGGGAGGCAGCAGUGGGGAAUUUUGGACAAUGGACGAAAGCCUGAUCCAGCAAUGCCGCGUGCAGGAAGAAGGCCUUCGGGUUGUAAACUGCUUUUGUACGGAGCGAAAAGGUCCUUUCUAAUACAAGGGGCUCAUGACGGUACCGUAAGAAUAAGCACCGGCUAACUACGUGCCAGCCGCCGCAGUAA